AUUGAACGCUGGCGGCAGGCCUAACACAUGCAAGUCGAGCGAGCGGCGGACGGGUGAGUAAUGUCUGGGAAACUGCCUGAUGGAGGGGGCUAACUACUGGAAACGGUAGCUAAUACCGCAUCCCAUCAGAUGUGCCCAGAUGGGAUUAGCUAGUAGGUGGGGUAAUGGCUCACCUAGGCGCCGGUCCCUAGCUGGUCUGAGGGGAUGACCAUCCACACUGGAACGGAGACAGGGUCCAGACUCCUACGGGGGGCAGCGGUGGGGAAUAUUGCACAAGGGGCGCAAGCCUGAUGCAGCCAUGCCGGUGGUGUGAAGAAGGCCUUCGGGUUGUAAAGCACUUUCGCGGGGAGGCGUUACCCGCAGAAGAAGCACCGGCUAACUCCGUGCCAGCAGCCGCGGUAAUUC
rnacentral:rRNA from 1 species